rnacentral:misc_RNA from 1 species
CUUAGCUAGAGUUUUCUCGAGCUGCCAAGUUGCAUCAGUGCACCUCCCUUCAUGAAUCUAUGGGACAGAGCUAUGACUUGCAAAUACUUACGCGCUCCGUUUCUCAGAUGGGUCGCAACGAGGGGUGAAACAACCAGCAUGAGCUACAGUUUGGGGUCUGCUUUACUAAAUGGUCCUGUCGCAGGGUCAUAUUCCAGAAGCUGCCGAAUGGGGGCUUAAAAGCACCUGCUAUGACACAACUGUUGAGACCGAAAAAAACCCCUGCGAUGUGGAGCCUUUCUGGGGGUGAAGAAACAGGCAUAAGUGAGUAGCUAAGACGUGGAGGGAGUGCAAGCAAAGCCACCGAGUGAAAAGAAACCCCUCAGUACAAGCAUUAGGACGCAGGAUGUUGACGAGAAAAGCUUAGCUCGCCUUCUGAAGGUCUGUCUCCUUGAAACAGCUAUUACGGGCACAAAACAUUGUCCAUGAGUUUGCAAUGAUGGACAAUAGACGCCCAGAGCUCUACACUAGAUGGCUGCAGCAGUCGAAGAGACUUCGAUAUGUUAAGCUACGCCAGCACCAAUGGGACUGUGAAAUGAUGACACGAAAGCAAAGAUGAGACUGUGAACUGCGAGAGCAGAAUGGCAGCACGUCUCGGGCCAGAGCAGUCAGUAAGAGUUAGAAUUAGGGCCAGAGCCAUUGAGCCAGUGAGUGCCAUUGAGCCAGUAAAAGCUAGUGCGAUUGUAAUACAGUACAAGUA